AAUUAUAAACAAAAUAAAUUACAGAAUCUGGUAAUGAUCAAUUCUUUAUGCAUUCAUAAUAAUAUUCUAUGUUAUUUUAGGUAAUUAAUGCUUUCUUAAGGUUGCUGGUCAUUGAGAACAAUAAGGUCAACAUGAGUAAGGCAGUCAUGAUUGACUCUUAUGAAAUGACAGCAAUCUGGAUGGGGAGGACAUCCAAAGUUAAAAUGAGUCCAAUGGAUUUCCAAACAGUUUUGGGCAUUGUUAAUGUGCAUUACCACUGGAUGCUGAUGGUGAUCUCUCUGCAUGAGAAAAAGUGUGUUUUCCUGGACCCAAUGGGAGAGG